rnacentral:lncRNA from 1 species
CAGGGGACUGGCUUCUCCAGGUGCUUCCUCACAGUCAGGCAAAGGUGGCUGCGUGGGGCACUCCAGGAGCUCCGUCUGCGUUCCAGUCCAGGUCACGCCCGCCCUUAUGCCCAAAUCUCAUUUUUGAGUGUCCAUUUCCUUGGACGUUUCCUGGCACCAACUUCUCUAUUAGUCAAGAUCCUUUCAGGGAAGAAGAACCCCACCACUUUAUAAAACAAGAAUAUAAUGUCAGAAAGUGCCAACAGGGCAUCAGCCAACCUAAGAGCAAAGAGGAACACGCAGUGCCCCAGGCCUGAGGAGAGGACAGGAGCCAGUGGGGGUCAUCGAACCUCCACGCCGGGAGGGAACUUGUAGGACUGGUACCCCAGCUCCGAGCGGGGUGCGGGCUGGCUGGUGCACGUGUCUCCGAGGAAGCAUGAGGAAACUGGCCUGGGUGCUGAGCUGCGUAAACCAGAACCACCCCACGGCAGGGUGGCCAGGGGAAGCUUCGACAUGUGACAGCAUCAGGGAGCAGCAAGGAAGGAGCGAGUCCUUUCUUCUUGGGCCUGUGAGAUUCCUCAGACAGGAAGGACGAGCGUGGGCCGGCUCAGACAGCCCAGCUGUGAAGACAGGGUCGAGGUUGGGAGGAAGUGACUGUCAGCAGGUAUUCUUUAAGCCCAUUUCAAAUGCCACC